ACUGUGUACCGUGGAUCUCUUGGGUCGUGUAACAAUGCAGCGAGCAGCUAGAUGUAAUGAGUAUUGUGAAUUCCCGUUCCACAUUGAACCUUUUACAUGUUCAUGGCGCAUGCCGGCUUCCUGGUUACUCCGCAGCCCUCNUAUGUUUGAGGUUGGA
rnacentral:rRNA from 1 species